GGAAAAGGAAUUUCUUUGGACUUGAUUACACAUCAAUCUUUAAGUGGGAAUUGAGGUAUAUUAUAUGAGGAGCUGCAAAAGAAAAAGAGUUGUGAUUGAAUUUGUAAAGCGAAGGAAUAAAUUUUAUGAGUUCUUGACAUGUUAGUUUGAUGUAUUUUCCCAAAGUUGUUUUUUUUUUUUUUUUUAGAUUUCGUUUAAAUUUUAAGUCCGAUCAUGUUAGAUUUCUAAAUAGAGUAAAGCUCUUUUAAUGACUUUUUUUCAUCUACACAACUCAAAUUCAACCAUUCAACCCAAUAAAUAUAGGUAUAUUGAAUAUGAUUCUUAUAAAUCUAAAAUUAAAUAAAAUUCUUGAU
rnacentral:lncRNA from 1 species